GAUGAACGCUAGCGGCAGGCCUAAUACAUGCAAGUCGAACGGUGUAGCAAUACACAGUGGCGCACGGGUGCGUAACACGUAUGCAACCUACCUAUUAUUGGGGGAUAGCCUUUGGAAACGGAGAUUAAUACCGCAUAAUACGAUUGACUGGCAUCAGUUGAUUGUUAAAGCUUCGGCGAUAAUAGAUGGGCAUGCGUCCAAUUAGUUAGUUGGUGAGGUAAUGGCUCACCAAGACGAUGAUUGGUAGGGGAUCUGAGAGGAUAAUCCCCCACACUGGCACUGAGAUACGGGCCAGACUCCUACGGGAGGCAGCAGUAGGGAAUAUUGGGCAAUGUGCGAAAGCCUGACCCAGACAUGCCGCGUGCAGGAUGAAGGCGUUAUGCGUUGUAAACUGCUUUUUUAUAGGAAGAAGGAGGCCUUGCGAGGCUUGGUGACGGUACUAUAAGAAUAAGCACCGGCUAACUCCGUGCCAGCCGCCGCGGUAAUAC
rnacentral:rRNA from 1 species